rnacentral:rRNA from 1 species
AUGGGAGCCUCCUGCUCUUUCUCAGCAGUGGUCUCAUUAGGAGCAUCGCCAUUAGAGUCUUCCUUCUUAGGCUUUUGCUUCUUGAGCUUCCUCUUGACAGAGCCACUGAUGCACUUGGCCUUAUUGGUCUUCUCCUUCUUCUCGGCGCCAUCUCCCUCCUUAUCAGCGCAUUCUCCCUCUGGCUUCUUUUCGGCACCCUCUCCCUCUUCCUUCUUAGAAUCAUCUUUUUGCACAUCCCUGCAACAGUUUCAAACAUCAACUUGUCAGAUUCAGAAGCAACAUUCUGAGCAGCAGGGGCUUCCUCCUGCUUCUCCACAGCAGCAGGCUCCACCUUGCCUUCAGACUUGGUAUCAACAUCAGAAGCAGCCACAGAGGAUGGCUUGCUCUUAG